CGUAACAAGGUCUCCGUAGGUGAACCUGCGGAGGGAUCAUUACACAAAUAUGAAGGCGGGCUGGAACCUCUCGGGGUUACAGCCUUGCUGAAUUAUUCACCCUUGUCUUUUGCGUACUUCUUGUUUCCUUGGUGGGUUCGCCCACCACUAGGACAAACAUAAACCUUUUGUAAUUGCAAUCAGCGUCAGUAACAAAUUAAUAAUUACAACUUUCAACAACGGAUCUCUUGGUUCUGGCAUCGAUGAAGAACGCAGCGAAAUGCGAUAAGUAGUGUGAAUUGCAGAAUUCAGUGAAUCAUCGAAUCUUUGAACGCACAUUGCGCCCUUUGGUAUUCCAAAGGGCAUGCCUGUUCGAGCGUCAUUUGUACCCUCAAGCUUUGCUUGGUGUUGGGCGUCUUGUCUCUAGCUUUGCUGGAGACUCGCCUUAAAGUAAUUGGCAGCCGGCCUACUGGUUUCGGAGCGCAGCACAAGUCGCACUCUCUAUCAGCAAAGGUCUAGCAUCCAUUAAGCCUUUUUUCCAACUUUUGACCUCGGAUCAGGUAGGGAUACCCGCUGAACUA
rnacentral:rRNA from 1 species